UUAAAUCUCGUGCUAAAAUGUUUGCAUCGUUACGGAUUUUCUUCAACCGAUGAAAUGUGGUUUUGUUUCCUGUGUACCACCUGUCAGAAUAAUGUGAUCCUUGAUAAAUCGUGUGUCUUUUGUUACAUCAAGGGUGAUGUAGCGCCGGGGAUGCACUCGCUCCUCACCUCUUGGAUGUCGAGUUCGGUUUCUUGGUCUCGGCAUCACAUUUCGUAAUUCCAGAAGCACGUAACUAAGUGGUAGACUGUUCAUGAAAACUCAAGCCAUGUACACUGAAACAAUGACAAAAUAUAUGGAUGUUCACUUAGUCUUAUCAAAAUUGGAAUGAAAGUGAAACAGAAAAAAAAUGGCGAAUUGUUCACCGAUGUUAAAAUAGUUAAUACAACUGAUGACAAAUAGAAGAUGUACUUCCUUUAUGGAAGUUGAAAUGGAAUUAGAAAUGUUAAUGAAAUCUAAUUACGUAUUAUAAUACUUAGCAUCUACGUACUUCGCCUUAAAAUGUAGAAAAUGGUGCUUGAAACAGACACACGACAAAGUAAUAAAACCCACUCGACCAAUACCUGUGAAAUUAGUUAACAUUACUUUUUUAUGAUGUAUUGUGAGCAGAUUCCAUGGAGAAUUAAUACACUUAUAUUAGUGCACAGUU